rnacentral:misc_RNA from 1 species
CCAGAAUGACAUCUUUCUCCUCUGUCGGUUCUGCUUCAAGUAAUACUGGCAUCGUUUCUGCUGCUGCUUCAGAUAGCAACCCCGUUGGCUCCAGCGCUGCUGCUGUUGGAAAUUUUGGUUUUGGGGCAAGUUCUUCAACCUCAUCUACGUUGAGCAGUUCAGUCGGACCUAGCAGUGGGACAUCUCAGCUGUCGUUCACUUUUGGUGCUAGUCCGGCUGUUCAUGCAGCCACCACUGCACUUGCUACUUCUAGCAAUGCUACUUCUGCUAUAUUUAGUUUUGGUAAUGAUUCUUCAUCUUCCUUGGCAAAUGCCGUCGACACCUCUACCCGCCCUAGUCCUAGCACAUUUAAUUUUGGUGGUAGUUCUUCAGCUUCCUCAUUGAAGAGUGUCGGCAUGUCUAAUAGUGCUGCUCCUGGAAUAUUUAGUU